rnacentral:misc_RNA from 1 species
AAGUCGUAACAAGGUUUCCGUAGGUGAACUGCGGAAGGGUCAUUACACGUAUCCAACGUUAACAACCCUGUGAACCUUCAUUCCUGCUCUCCUCGAGCCCUAACAAAAGCAAUCCUUGGACCAAUUUGAUUCAAGGACCUCUCUUGUCAGCCCUCGGGGAUUCGAUACGGUCGUCUCAACUUAGGCUUGGCUUCUGCGGAGCAGUCAGAGGGUGAAAGUGCCACUGAUUGCUUAAGCAGAUAACCAAUUAAAACUCGGAUUAUCGAGUUCCCACACGCCCGAUGAACAAGUCUCUGGGCGCAAGCCCCAAAUUAACUACCUCUAAGGCCUUAGCGGCCGCGUGCUGUCGCCGUCGUGAAAGCUGAACAACUGUAUGGAUAUCUUGGUUCUC